UUUGAAAGCAUCCGCGCCGCUUUUCUCCUCCGUGUCGAUCAUGACGUAUCCUCUCCCGUGGCCUCCUGGGAUAGAAGAGUGUCCAUCGAGGAACACUUCAGAAUCUGGGCGGGAGCAGUAGGCCAUCCGGGAACUUCUCGACUACUCUUUUAUUACUGAGGUUUCUGACAUACUUAUUCGCUCGCCUACUGCUUUCUCCCUACUAAAUAGUAGAGAAGUAGGCGGUUUCGAACGCAGCCUUGGGUUCUAAGCUCUUUGAUUUUAUUCAGCUGCUGUUACUGCGAAUAGCUGAUUUACUUCUACGAAACCGUUUUUGGUCUCUUCUGCGAGAGAGCGCCCUCUAGCUUCCAGUAUGAAUGAAACACAUUACACGAGAGUGAGCGCUCCAUAAUGUUUAGAUCGCCUCAUUUUAUUUAAGAAUAAAACGAUAAGUCAUGCAUAGACUAUCUUGUCUCUUUGAAUUUAAAUCAAUAUUUAUUCACAUUGGCCUCUAUGCACACUUGCCCAAAAAAAAAAAAAAAAAAAAAAAAAAAAUGCGGGGGAUGAAUUUACAUUUUAUUAAAAGUGCGGGGGACACACGUAUUCUGCGCCCAUGGGCUCGGGUAUAGGCCUUACCAAAGGCACUGGAAGGCAAGCCUGCAACCUUUAGCCAAAAAAGCGUAACGGCUAAUGCUAACGCUCCGCCCCGGCAGUACACAGGGAAGGAGACCAGAGAAAAUUUAAUAGCUUGAUAAAAAUGUAUUUUUUUAAGAGAAGGCAGACUAGGGAAUGUUGCGUCUGAUGUCACUGCCAUUACACGAUAGGCUGAGAGGAGAUCACGUGAUUAAAUUAGCCGUUACCAGAGCCUUUGAAAAACAGAGUUGCGACACUCCUAUAGUUCCAGCGCUGAACUCAUUCAUUUUCAGUGACUCUGAAGUUCGCUCGCUGUUCUGUCCAGCAGCAGGCUUGACUCGACUCCAGACCCGGUCUCCUCUGGGCUCUGACACAGGCUGUUUCCACCUGAAGUUAAGAUGCAUUUUGGUCGAUCAGAUCAUAAGUGGACGACGGAGACACAUACGCGUUUGCAACUGGUGUUUUAAUCCAUCUGAUUUGUCCUCUUUCAACCACUUCUGUCCUGAUUUCUUUGAGGGGGUGGGUAAAUGUAUGGGUUUUUACAGAUCUUUCAAUCUAAUGGACAAAAUAAGCUUGAGCAGUUUACAUAUGAAUGCACCCAGAGAUGACAGGAAAACAUAUUGAGAGCAUCAGUGUUCGCUUCUGCUCUGACAGCUGUGAGACCAGCCGAAUGCUGUGAGUGUGUGUUAGAAAUCAGGAAUGGUGAGAGAACAUUGUGCUUGGUACGUUUUUCAUCUUUGAACCAAACUUUGGUCUUCAGCCAACAAAGUUUAAAUCCUGUCUGGCUCGAGGGCUUCCCAUAAUGUUUACACAUUAGGUCAGUAGAUGGAGAGUAGAGUAAACAUGAGUGUUUACACUACGAAAGCAGUCCGGUCGAAUGCAUUUGCGUCUACUUCUGGAAGUGGUCGAAAGUGGACAAACUUAAACCGUUUUAGAUCUGUUUACACCUGUAUUUAAUGUUGUCCACUUGUGAUCCGAUCAGCCAAAACGCAUCUUAACACCAGGUGGAAACAGGCCCACAGUCUGCUUCUGGCAGUGGAAUGCUCUCACCCAAAAAUUCAAGUCUCCAGAUCAUCCUACGGCUGCGCUGGAAGCAUGUAAUGGCUACUGUGAACACUUAUAUUCCUUCUCUGGCCUGCUUUCUGCCAUCUUUCUCUCCCUGUAGGAAGUCGAAUGAGUUUCUUUGAAGACAGAACAUUCAAGGAAAACUUACCUACCCUCUCCCUGGAUAUAAUAUAUAAUUAAAUGUUUUGUUGAAUGCAAUUGUUUGCCUUGUAUAUUUUUCACUGUUGACCAAACUUCUUUCUUGACUUAAACUGAGCAGCUUCAUUCAUUGAUACUCACUUGUUGUGCAUGUUUAUGUGAAUGUAUCUUAACACAACAUUAGGAUGUUAGUAAUUAUGACCUUAGAAGCACGAGAAAAAUAUAUACAGUACAUGCGGUAAAUGUAUACCUUAUGGGAGCAGCCCCCCUUCCCUCUAAAAUUAAACAAAAAAUUAAUUCAAUUCAAAGGGCUUUAUUUGCAUGAGAUAUAAAACAUACAUACAAAUGGUUUAGCCUAUAGGGAAGGUCAGGAUGAAGGGGUACAUUAGCCAUACUAAAAUGAAUCCAGUUAACAGCAAUGUUAAUGUUAUGGAUCGUAUUUAGGAACAUUGUUAAUUCACUCAGUAACCAUCUCUCCAGUUACCUGUACAUUUUAACAGACCACACUGUUAACGAUAAUGCCGUCUCUCUAUCACUCUCCAGAUACAAUACGCUACUGUAAGUGUACACAAUGUAGUAAUCAAUUUUAUUCAAUAUUUAAUCAAUAUUAUGCGUUAAUAUUUACCGAAAAAAAUGCUACAAAUACAAGUAGUUGCUGUAUUUUACGUUAUGGGAGCAGCCCCUCUUCCCUUCAAAAUUAAACACAAAAACUGAUUAAUGCUGUGUUUCCGCCACUCCCCAGGGAAAAAUGCUAUUAUCUGUAUGUAAUGUAAGGGUCAUCGUAAUAAUCAAUGUAUAUUAUGCGUCAAUAUUUACCGAUAAUUGCUGCAAAUAUAGCUACAGCUGUCUGUCCCGCUUAAAACCCUUCAAACUGGUUGACAGCGUGGAUUUGUUUGGAACUAUUGAGAGCUACACGAACCACGUGACAGCGUGGCGGCGAGAUCAAAGAGUGUCGCAACUCUCAUAUUUAACGGCUCUGGCCGUUACGCUUUCUCCAAUGGUAAGUGAU